CAAUGAACUUAAGAUUCAUAUAUAAAGAUAAUUUUUUUAUUAGAA
rnacentral:tRNA from 1 species